AAUAGAUACCCGGGUAGUCCACGCCGUAAACGAUGAGUGCUAAGUGUUAGAGGGUUUCCGCCCUUUAGUGCUGCAGCUAACGCAUUAAGCACUCCGCCUGGGGGAGUACGGCCGCAAGGCUGAAACUCAAAGGAAUUGACGGGGGCCCGCACAAGCGGUGGAGCAUGUGGUUUAAUUCGAAGCAACGCGAAGAACCUUACCAGGUCUUGACAUCCUCUGCCAACCCUAGAGAUAGGGCGUUCCCCUUCGGGGGACAGAGUGACAGGUGGUGCAUGGUUGUCGUCAGCUCGUGUCGUGAGAUGUUGGGUUAAGUCCCGCAACGAGCGCAACCCUUGAUCUUAGUUGCCAGCAUUCAGUUGGGCACUCUAAGGUGACUGCCGGUGACAAACCGGAGGAAGGUGGGGAUGACGUCAAAUCAUCAUGCCCCUUAUGACCUGGGCUACACACGUGCUACAAUGGAUGGUACAAAGAGCUGCGAACCCGCGAGGGUAAGCGAAUCUCAUAAAGCCAUUCUCAGUUCGGAUUGUAGG
rnacentral:rRNA from 1 species